UACGUAGGGUGCGAGCGUUGUCCGGAAUUAUUGGGCGUAAAGAGCUCGUAGGCGGUGUGUCACGUCGGCCGUGAAAACCUGCAGCUUAACUGUGGGCGUGCGGUCGAUACGGGCAUCACUGGAGUUCGGCAGGGGAGACUGAAUUCCUGGUGUAGCGGUGAAAUGCGCAGAUAUCAGGAGGAACACCGGUGGCGAAGGCGGGUCUCUGGGCCGAUACUGACGCUGAGGAGCGAAAGCGUGGGGAGCGAACAGG
rnacentral:rRNA from 1 species